rnacentral:rRNA from 1 species
AGUGAACGCUGGCGGUAGGCCUAACACAUGCAAGUCGAACGGCAGCACAGGAGAGCUUGCUCUCUAGGUGGCGAGUGGCGGACGGGUGAGGAAUACAUCGGAAUCUGCCCAGUCGUGGGGGAUAACGUAGGGAAACUUACGCUAAUACCGCAUACGACCUUCGGGUGAAAGAGGGGGAUCGCAAGACCUCUCGCGAUUGGAUGAGCCGAUGUCGGAUUAGCUAGUUAGCGGGGUAAUGGCCCACCAAGGCGACGAUCCGUAGCUGGUCUGAGAGGAUGAUCAGCCACACUGGAACUGAGACACGGUCCAGACUCCUACGGGAGGCAGCAGUGGGGAAUAUUGGACAAUGGGCGCAAGCCUGAUUCAGCCAUACCGCGUGGGUGAAGAAGGCCUUCGGGUUGUAAAGCCCUUUUGUUGGGAAAGAAAUCUUUCAGGCUAAUACCCUGGGAGGAUGACGGUACCCAAAGAAUAAGCACCGGCUAACUUCGUG